AGUAACACGUGGAUAACCUACCUAUAAGACUGGUAUAACUUCGGGAAACCGGAGCUAAUACCGGAUAAUAUUUUGAACCGCAUGGUUCAAAAGUGAAAGACGGUCUUGCUGUCACUUAUAGAUGGAUCCGCGCUGCAUUAGCUAGUUGGUAAGGUAAUGGCUUACCAAGGCAACGAUGCAUAGCCGACCUGAGAGGGUGAUCGGCCACACUGGAACUGAGACACGGUCCAG
rnacentral:rRNA from 1 species